GUUGUUUGUUGUAGGGGCGCACGGUGGAUGCCUGGGCACAUUACGCCGAUGAAGGACGUGGAAGGCCGCGAUAGUCCUCGGGGAGUUGUCAAUCAAGCGUUGAUCCGAGGGUGUCCGAAUGGGGUAACCUUGCCGUAGUUGUGUGCG
rnacentral:rRNA from 1 species